rnacentral:SRP_RNA from 1 species
GCCGGGCAUGGUGGCGCAUGCCUGUAGUCCCAGCUACUUGGGAGGCUGAGGCAGGAGAAUCACUUGAACCCAGGAGGCGGAGAUUGCAGUGAGCUGAGAUUGUGCCACUGCACUCCAGCCUGGGCGACAGAGUGAGACUCCGUCUCAA